rnacentral:rRNA from 1 species
GACGAACGCUGGCGGCGUGCCUAAUACAUGCAAGUCGAGCGCAGGAAGCCGUCUGAACCCUUCGGGGGGACGACGGUGGAAUGAGCGGCGGACGGGUGAGUAACACGUAAAGAACCUGCCCAUAGGUCUGGGAUAACCACGAGAAAUCGGGGCUAAUACCGGAUGUGUCAUCUGACCGCAUGGUCCGCUGAUGAAAGGCGCUCCGGCGUCGCCCAUGGAUGGCUCUGCGGUGCAUUAGCUAGUUGGUGGGGUAACGGCCCACCAAGGCGACGAUGCAUAGCCGACCUGAGAGGGUGAUCGGCCACACUGGGACUGAGACACGGCCCAGACUCCUACGGGAGGCAGCAGUAGGGAAUCUUCCACAAUGGACGAAAGUCUGAUGGAGCAACGCCGCGUGAACGAUGAAGGCUUUCGGGUCGUAAAGUUCUGUUGUAAGGGAAGAACAAGUGCCGCAGGCAAUGGCGGCACCUUGACGGUACCUUGCGAGAAAGCCACGGCUAACUACGUGCCAGCCGCCGCCGUAA